AGAAUAUUUGCCACAUGAUCGGUAUGUUGUUGAACCAACAUCACCGCCAUCCGUAUUACCACCAACAACGAGUGAACCAACAACAAAUAAAUAUUACAAAUAUUCAGCAUCAUCAACAACGACCACGACCAAUGCACACAAUCGACCCGAACGUGAAGUAUUGUUGGCUCCAUUUCCAACCGAUGGCAUCCAACAUCAACAACCAAACCAAGUUGAUGGCCCUCCCAAGCAUCUAGGUCAAUUGUUAGCUUCAUUUGAUGAGAAUACUGGACGAGGUGAUGAGGAACCGUAUGUGGCACGAAAAGAGGUCAACACUGCAUUGGCCACCAAUAAAGGAAUACCAGUUGUUGAGCCAAAAGCUCCCACAAAAAAUAUUGCUGGCCCACCCGUAUACUAUCCGCCUGGUCAGGAACUAUUCGCCAAGAGUGAAGCUCAAGCCGCCUGGAGAGCAAAGGGUGGUUGGGCCAAGGGUAGCGGCAAAUAUGAAUAUGAAGCCGAAAGUAAAUCGAAGAGUGCAAGCAAAUCUGGGGCUGCUGUUGUACCAGUAUGUUUGCCAUUAUGUUGUGCUAUGCCAUGUACGAUUAUGUAAAAGACCAACCAAAAUAUUAAGUGCACUCGAGUCGAGACAACUUUACUGCACAAAAUAGCACAGCCAAUAAUCGAAGAACAACGAUUUACUGAAAGGGCACGACAUAUAUACAUUUUACCCAUUUUAUUUUCUGUACUACUAACAAGUGCAUUUCAAACGCAAAUAUGUUUUCUAACAGUCCAAGGAAGGAAGGGAAAUUUUUGGAACAUGAAAAAUUUGCAUUUGUUUUCAUUGGAAUGCAAAAACUAUCACUAAAAGUCACUAAUCACUUAUAAUGAACUAAUCAAUUUUCUUGUGUAAUAAUUAAAUUUUAAAUGACGUCGUACGGCGAGAUGAAACACUCAUUGAACGCUUUUUCCAUUGUAACACCACGCUCACUCAACAAGUCGGUGAACACACUCUUGAUUCUCUUUUUGUGCCACAACAUUGUCAAUUUUAUUAUCGUUAAUUUAAACAUUUCUAUUUUUGUAUUACGAACGCUAAUUUUUUUUUCUUCCAAUUUUCAAGAGAUAACAAGUAUAUUUUAUUGGCUCUAGAUCCCAAUUUAUAUAUAGCAAAGUCUAAUCAUCCUUAAUGAAAUGUAUUAUUUCAAAUUAAUAAAAUAAAAAUAUACGAUUUGUUGGAUAAGA